rnacentral:rRNA from 1 species
UAAGACAUGCUAGUCGAGCGUCUUCAGGCUAUGUUGAGGACGCGGCGUACGGCUCAGUAACACGUGGCCAACCUACCCUUGGGACGGAGACAACCCCGGGAAACUGGGGCUAAUCCCCGAUAGGUGAGGACGCCUGGAAUGGUCUCUCACCCAAAGGACGUUGAAAGCAUGCUUUUCGGCGUUGCCUAAGGAUGGAGCCGCGGCCGAUCAGGUUGUUGGUGAGGUAACGGCUCACCAAGCCUAUAACCGGUACGGGCCAUGAGAGUGGGAGCCCGGAGAUGGGCACUGAGACAAGGGCCCAGGCCCUACGGGGCGCAGCAGUUGCGAAACCUCCACAAUGCACGAAAGUGCGAUGGGGCUAACCCGAGUGCCGUCCGCUGAGGAGGGCUUUUCUCCGCUGUAAGGAGGCGGAGGAAUAAGGAGAGGGCAAGACUGGUGUCAGCCGCCGCGGUAAUACCAGCUCUCCGAGUGGUAGGGACGAUUAUUGGGCCUAAAGCGUUCGUAGCCGGCUUGGCAAGUCUUUCGUUAAAUCCAGUGACCUAAUCGCUGGGCUGCGGGAGAUACUGUCAGGCUUGGGAGCGGAAGAGGUCGACGGUAUUCUCGGGGUAGG